ensembl:lncRNA
GAUACAUUUAUUCACUGGACUGUAAAAUGAAUGACCAGGAGCUAACUGUGGGUAAACUCAGAAGUCGAAGGAGCUAGUUGCCCGGGGACUUGACGGUAUACCUUUUUUGAAAUAAACCUUGCGUGGUGCUGAAGGGGCUGAAAGGAGAUACCCCACGUCCAAGGUCAGGAGCGGUAGCCAAGAGGAGAUUUCCCACAUCCAAGUAAGCUGUGACUGCUAGACCGUGAGCUGGGAGGGAGCGAUACUGUUGGUGAUUGUCUUGAGCACAUCCCUAGCACAUAACCCACAAGAGGCCCUAGUAUGCAGAUGAGGAUGUGACAGUGAUUUUGGAGUUGCCUUCAACUUUGGGGGAACAGAAGAAACUGAAACACAAAACAAACUUAGAGAAGCUGAAAGAAGCUAAAGUAUUUAAAAACAUAUUAAAUGGGAAUCACUUCUUACCUUGAAAUGUUCUCAAAUGUCAUAGCACAAGAGAACCGCGGUGGCAUUGUGAAUAUAAGACCAAAAGAAGAUGGCAGCAACAGACCAUGGAACACGUCUGUACUGUUUUCCAGUCUCCACGGCCACCACCUGCCUCCACAGGCACCACCUAAGGAUUCUCAGAGCUGCAGGAAUGAGAGUUUUUUCAACUUUUAUCCUCAUGGUGACUCCCCAUGCAGUUUCUUGAGGGCUGUGGUAAACCAUUUCUCUGUAAUAAAAAUACCCAUGAUACUCUUUUCUCUACUGCCUCUUUGAAAUGUAAGAUGGCAGUAUUUAAAAAAAAAAGAUGGCAGUAUUAAAAUUGCUUAUAUUGAAUGUACUGUCAUUUCCAAAAUUCUUCACAUGGUCA